GUGUCAAAAUCUGAGCUGUGUGGGAAUUGUGAUUUCAUCGAGUAUCCUGGCAACAUCACCCGCCCCCGGAGCAGGAGCUAAGAGAGACUGUAAAAAAAGCACAUGCAUGUAUGUAACCCCUUUCUCCAGACAGAUUCCCAGGGUCCCCUCAGCGGGAGUCACCCAGGGAAGGCUUCUUCCUGCAUCACAGCUCACCAGCACAGACGGGCCCUGCUGCUUCAGCAGAUUCCCCCUGCGAAGGGGUUACCCUUCCCAGCAUUCCUCUGCAGACAGACUCCAGGGUGGGGGCUCCUCUCUCUUACUGCACCAAAUCCUGGGAGACAGAGGAGGAAGUUGACCAAAGGAAUUCUCUGAUCAUCUUGAUGAAUUUGCUGGGUAAAGAGUCUUUGGGGCUUCUGAAAGCAUCUCUUAAAAGAAAAGGCAUCUUUUUGAAAAAGAAAAUGCAGAAAAUAGAUGGCUAGAAAGAAGGACAGAGAAGCAGGAUAGCUUCGAAAGCUAUCAGUUGCAUUUACUGCACACAUAAAAAGAAAAGUGAAUUGUACAUUAUAGAGGUCAGAGAACAAAGACCUCCAAAUAGGCUUUCCUGGAUCAAAAGAAGACAGCAUCUGGGGCAGCAGUUAGUCAUUUGGAUUCAGUGGCAAGAGAAAGAUCUAGAUGAUUGGAGAUGGGUCCUGGAUGCAGUGGGAGACCUUGGCCUUUCAAACUAAAGUCUAACAGGAAGUGAUGAGAGCAAAGAGUCAAAGUGAUCUAGAAAAAUUUGGAGAAAG
rnacentral:lncRNA from 1 species